GUACAAUAAUGCUGAGGAAAUUUUCUUAUUUAUUAUUCCAACAUGCAUACGUACUCGUCAAGUCUUUGUUUCAAGUGGCAAAGGGCUUGGUGGUUGGUAUCCGAGACCCAAUUAAGUUCGAAUCCUAAUUGAUUCACAUUUCCAGUUAAGUUUAUUUCUAAAUGAAAUAAACGAAGCGGGUAGCGUGCUAUCUAUCUCUCUCAAAAAAAAAAAAAGUCUUUGUUUCAAGAAGCAGACUUAUUUUAAGAUUAAU
rnacentral:lncRNA from 1 species